rnacentral:tRNA from 1 species
CCCUGGGUGGUGUAAAUAGGUAACAUGCUCAGCUGCUACCUGAAAGGUUGGAGGUUCAAGUCCACCCAGGGG